rnacentral:rRNA from 1 species
AUUUGAAAUCUGGCUCUUUCAGAGUCCGAGUUGUAAUUUGCAGAGGGCGCUUUGGUGUUGGCAGCGGUCCAAGUUCUUUGGAACAGGACGUCACAGAGGGUGAGAAUCCCGUACGUGGUCGCUAGCCCUCACCGUGUAAAGCCCCUUCGACGAGUCUAGUUGUUUGGGAAUGCANCUCUAAAUGGGAGGUAAAUUUCUUCUAAAGCUAAAUACUGGCCAGAGACCGAUAGCGCACAAGUAGAGUGAUCGAAAGAUGAAAAGCACUUUGGAAAGAGAGUCAAAUAGCACGUGAAAUUGUUGAAAGGGAAGCGCUUGCAGCCAGACUUGCCUGUAGUUGCUUAUCCGGACUUUUGUCCGGUGCACUCUUCUGCGGGCAGGCCGGCAUCAAUUUGGGCGGUUGGAUAAAGGUCUCUGUCAUGUACCUCCUUUCGGGGAGGCCUUAUAGGGGAGACGACAUGCAACCAGCCUGGACUGAGGUCCGCGCAUCUGCUA